ACAAAGAGCCCUCUGCACUAGCGCCGCAGGACCGCGGACCCGAGUUGGAGGCAUCUGUCCACCCAUGUGGUUCCAGACACGUUCAUGUGGCCACCAUGACCCCGUCGGCAUCACAGGGGUAACCAAGGUCCACAGAACGAGGGGAAAGGGUCACUGUGGAUCAAGCCAGGCUCCUCUGAGCAGUCCAGGGUCUAUUUACAGAGAGCAGCAAGUUCCUGGGACAGAGGAGACAGAAGGGAAUUUCCAGGUUCUUCAGGACGUUCACAACCACACUGAGAAGCAUCUUUGCAGAUAAGUAUUUAAACUUACCAGCCCAUAGCCUACCAGCCUGCCCUCUUCUGGUCUGUGCAGGAAAGUGUAGUAUCCUAGAAUGCCAAAGUGGGAGGGGAAAUGGGUGAUGUAGCUCAUUCUCUUUUCUACCUCUAUGGAAGAAAGAAAGAGCCUGUCCCCAUUUUGUGGGGUCCCAGAAAGGGUGAUUUUCACACUUCACAUUUGGCGUUAGGGCUAGUAUUUCACAAACAUUACCGUCUGGAACUUUUGAAGGCUGAGUUAAAUGACUUCAUCUUGUGUACUUGUAGAACUGCUAUUAGAAGGAGGCUGGGGACUCCCUGAUGAUGUGAACCAGCCCUUCUCUUCUCAGUUUCAGCACUUUGUGAUCAUAUUUAUAAACCUUGGACAGGGCUCCUUGGCCUUAGAGUUAAGUGAAGAGUUAACACUGUGACUUUAGAUGCAUUUUUCUCAGUGUAAGUGUCUGAGCUCAUCUCCAGUUCUGGACUCGUGCCCCCACUCCCGGGUGCUGACAGCAAGCUCUGAAGAUAUGCUGAGAGAGCUCCCUGACUCUCCUGACUCAGGUCUGCCAGUUGAUGAAGACAGCACAGUUGUUACCAAAAACAAAACCUGGCAGAUGGUCCUAGGUCAGGAUUAGUGGUCAUUCUCUGGUCUUCUCCAGACUGGUGACACAGGGUGGUCUUAAAAGAGUCCUAGUCCAGCCUCUGGCUCCCCGAAUUUCCUCUGGUGCAUGGGGCAUCAGGAAAGGGCAGGGGAGAAGGAGGGGGAGCAGAAAAAUAACUGAGGCUGGGCAGAAGGGUCCCUUCCAUUUCCCAUCCAUUGCUUCAAACAAUGGGUGAUUACCGUGCACCUUGAGUGAAUGUCAAGGCAGGAAGGGUUCCAGGGCCACCCAGUGUGGCAGGAGCAGAGCUGGGAUCAGAAUUCUGGAUUCCUGACUCUCCGUUCAGCUGCUAUUCAGCUAUCACCAAGCUGCUGAGUUUGUCCUACUUUCUCCUGGGUCACAUUCUGCUGUUGUUGGGAAACAGGGAGUGAGUGAAGGGAACCUGGGAACCCUUCUCCCCUCACCUUUUAAGGAUGUUCUGGGGUGGAAUAAAGAGAGGUGGAGGGUGGGGUGCCUGGGCCCAGCCUCCCUGGCUCCUGGUCCUUCUUUCUUCAGCAGGGAGUUCUGGCAAGGCCUGGGCCUGGGGAGGGGGCCUGGGUGCAGUUUUCUCCUGCGGUGUGGUUGGCUCUUUUGUCUUCCAGGAUGGGCCUGUGGGGUCUGUGUGGGGAAGGAAGGAGCUGGGAGCCUGGGCUGCCUGUGUGUCGGCUGGAUGCUGCCAGCACCGGCAUGGACCAAGCAACUUCUCUGAGCCAGAUGCUGGGGACGCAGAGGUGAACCCAGAGACAUGAUCCCAUCUGCUCAGAUCUUCAUGUCAGAACACGCUUUAUUACAGUCUCGGCAAGGGGGUGGCUCCAUCUGGGCCGCAUCUCCAGGACUCCUGGCCUGGACUUCUCUUUGGACCUCGGGUGACCUUGGAUUCUGGCCACAGUGACUUAGCGGUCAGACUCCGGUGGUUUUCUAGCCCGCUGGGUGACUCCCUGAAGAUCUCAUCCUCUUCACACCUGUUGGGAUGGAGCCUCCCAUGGAUAGGAACUCUUCCUGGUUGAUGCUCAGCAGAUGACUGAUCUGGCUCUGGAGGACAGCUCCAGGGGUAUGAGGGAGGCCUGGCAGCCCACUACUCCCUCCUCACCUGCUCGGGCCCUGCCUGCUGGGCCCUAUUGUCUGGGUCUGGGGGCCCUUUCCUGCCCCAUGUGAACUUGAUUCCUCCUCGCGUUUCUGCCGGUGACCAGACAGAGCCUGGCCUGGGCCAAGUCCCCACUGACCACACUUUCCCCAAGGCUGGGUCUCAAAGGACCCUACAGGAUGGGGACAGGAACAAGGAUGGGAGUCGGGGAGGGGCUGUCAGGCAGAGGGCAGAUGCAGCUCCUCGGGUGCCGCUGGCUGGAGUCCUUUGUCUCCAUUUGCUCAGUGCGUAAUUGUCAUUUUGUGGGGGACUUCCUUGGUGGGGCUUUUCCAUGCUUUUCCUCUCCCUGAUGGUUACAAAGAGGAGACAGUCAGGAUCUGGGAGGAGCUGGAGCCUUCCCCCUGUGCUGUUGAACUCUGGGAGGGGCAGCCAGAGGGGCUGAGAGUGCACCAUCCUGAAAAGAGAGGGUCUUUAAGAGAUAAGAUUUAGGCUAGGGAAAUUCACUAGAAAGAGACAGGUGGCCCUGGGUUUUUUUUCCUGCCAUCCAAAGGGAACCAGUCUUACCCAAAGGCUUAAGGGGUCACCUUAGCCCAGUCUCAGGACACUCUUCUCCAAUCAGAUCGCUGCUUCUAGUUGCACUGCUCCUGGAUUCUGUUCUUGGGGAACAGAAGGUGGCAGGACAGGCCCCACAAUCUGCAAUUCCAGCUCCCUCCAGAGGAGACAGUCCCAGCGUUUGCAAGAGAGCAGCUUGUGGCCUCCCUUAGGCAAGUUUAAAAGCCAGAUGUCCUUUUUCCCAGAAUGCGGAGUGGUGUGUACUAUUCAUCAGCUUGGGCUGCCACAGCACCAUGCCAGACUGGAUGGCUUAAACAUCAGGAAUUUAUUUUCUGCCAGUUCUGGAGGCUGGAAAGUCCAGAUCAAGGUGUUAAGACUUGGUUUCUGGUGAGGCCUCUCUCCUUGGCUUGCAGGUGGCACCUUCUCACUAUGUCCUCACAUGGCCUUUUCUCUGUGGAGAGGGACAGAGAGCAUGAGCAGGCUCUGGUGUCUCCUCCUCUUCUUAUAAAGACACUAAUAUCACCAUAUUAGGGCUUAAACCUAUGACCUCAUUUAACCUUAACCCCUUAAAGGUCCCAUCUCCAAAAACAGUCACAUAGCAGGCUACUGCUUCAACAUAUGCAUUUGGGGGAGGGGACACCAUUCAGUUCUUAACAGGGUGGUCACCGCAAACAUGGAAAGUCAGAGCCUUCUCCCCUUCAGAAUUCCCGCCCCCACCCAGGGAUGGGGAGGAGGAGCAGAGAGGUAUGGGAAGCAGACACGGAGAGUGGCAGGUACCAUGCUGGGGUGGCUCAGGAGUGCUUCGGAGGACAUAUGGAACUGGCAGGGCUCAGUGCAGGGAGGCGGAGGCCCUGGGAGAGCCGUGUCCUGAGAAGGGCCUGGGCUACAACCCUGGGCAAGUUACUUCACCUCUGAGCCUCCGAUGCUCUGUGAAAUGGAAGGAAUGUGCUUGCCUGUCAGGUGCAGGGAGAAUUCAGUGAGAUUGUGUGCCUAGCACAGUGCCUGACUCCCAGUAGGUGCUCAGCAAAUGCUCCCAUCCAUCUGGGAGUAUAGACUUAGGGUUUAUCUAUUUUUUUUUUUUUUUGGCUCUCUGGACUUUAAAACUCAGCAUCUUCUGAACCAGAGGCAUUUCUGAUUAGCCCUUCCCUACCUAUUUUCCUAGUAUCACUCUUUAAUCAGCUUGGGGAGGUGGCAGCAUUUCAUGGCCUCCGUAGUAACUCACAAUGCUUCCUGGGGUAUUUAAAUUCUACUCUCUCAUCAGCACUGAGCACCUACUUUGGGCCCUUUCCCGUGCUAGCCAUUUGGGGGAAAUAUAGGUGAAGAGUGGCUGGGGUUUGAACCUUUAGGAUUUCACAGCCAUGCUGGAUGGGAUAAAACCAGCUCACAUGGAGAAUCAGAGAAUGGGACAGUGCCACAAAACAGUCUACUGAGGCACAAGUUCUGAGUGCCUGGGAAGUGGUAGAGAGACCCCAGAGAGGGCUGCUGCAGUCUGGAACAGCUUCCUAGCAAGCUGUACCAAACAGGGCCUUGAAGGAUGAGAAAGAUCUGGCUGAGAUGAUACCCGACCCUCUAGGGAAAUUCUUAAAGUAACUUCUAGGAAAUGUCAUUGCUCCUUAAAAAAAAAAAAAAAAAAAAAAAAGCAGGUUCUAAUUCAAAUUCCGCUGCACUACUGAAGUAGUGCAGGACUUAUCAGAACCUUUAAAAUGCUAAUGGCAAUUUCAAAUACUCAGGGACAGGGCAUAGGAUGAAGUGUUCCUUGACUUUUAUGGCCGUAGAAUCUUUUUCUCAUGGAACAUCGUUUAGAACUGUGGGAGAUGCUAGGCUGGGGUUUCUAUGGGAAAAGUACAGCAGUGAUAGAAGAUGGCAUAAUUAGGGUACACUUAGGUGCUUUGUAGCAUUGGCUGAAAAGGAAGCAGACCGGGUGGGCGUGGGGGAGUCUCAACUUGGUUCCAGGAGCCAGGCCAGCUUGAUGCGUUUUUUUUUUUUCUAAUGGUGGGAGGGCAGGCCAAUAGUUGGAGAAACUAGAGGCCUGACAGUCGGUGAUGGAAGAGAUGUCUACUAAGCACGGUUGUCAGAUCUUUUGCGGAGAGAUGCGGGUGUGCGUGUGUCUGUCAGAGUGUAACAGGAUCCAGCCCUCUGGGAAGGGGCUGACCAGAACCAGGCAGGGGGUUUCUGUCUAGGACAAGUAGGGUCCAUUUUCAGGGGAGCUGAAAUAUUUGCAGGGGGUGCUCUGAGACCCACAGCCAAUAAAUAGGGAAGCAACAUGCUUUUGGGCAGGGUCCAUGUGGUUAGGGUUGAUUUUGAUGGGGCUGGGGGGCUUAGAGUUAGACCCCCUGCCCUGGUCAGGCCCCACUCCCUGGCUGGUGGGGGCGGGAGGCCUCUGAAGCUGCAGCUGGAGGGGCCGGGGCAGUGUUGCAUGGUGUGAUUAACCUACUAACCCAGGGCUCAGCCGGGACGCUGUGGCGUGUGACGAGGUGCCUGGCCUUCUGCCAACCAACUAACCCACUAACCAGGCCCGAGCAUGCCCUACUAACCACCCCCCCGCAGCCAGAUCCUACUAACUGUGCAGCUCAUGGGCCUUUCAAGGGGCUGGGAUAUGGGGGCAGCCAAGGCUCCAGAAGGCUCUGCCUAUGGGCUGGGAUCUUUGUGCAGACCCACGUUCCAGGACAGAGAAUGCAAAUAAGACUCACCAACUCUGCCACUUCCUGUUGAGUGAGUUUGAGUAAGUCACCUCACUUCUCUCAACCUCAGUUUCCUCAGUGGUAGAAUGCGAGUUCUGAUACCUUACAGGUUGCAGUGAGGAUUCCCGUCAAUAUAAGGGUCUCAGCACAUGGCAGACACCUAAAAAAAAAAAAAGUAUGAGGAUGGAGGAAGGCCCCUCAAACCUGGUUGAACACGUCUGCUGCCUAGGCCCUGGCCUCUCUGGGUGUUCUGCACACAGAUCCUUCUGCCUGGGGCAAGACACUUGGCUUUGAAUCCAUGUCACUUCCCCACAUUCUUCCUCCGUCUCAGCUUUCUUUUCUGUAGGCAGCUCUUUUGUUCGAUUACUAACCCGUCUAACCCCUGGGGUGCCUCAACUGCACCCCGAUCAUCCCUUAACAAACUAACGGACCUGCGUGCGUUCUUCCUUUUCUCUUAGCGACUCCUGUGUGUGUCUGCUGAGGUGCCCUGUCCGCUGGUGCUGUGCUCUGACUUACUAACCCAGCCCCUACUAACCCUGUUUUCUCUUCUUACUAACCCCAGCCCUGCCGAGCUCUGGGCUCCCCCCGGGGGCUGGUCCCCCUCCUUUUGGCAAGCAGAUGACCUGGGGCUACUGGCCCUGUAGACAGAUGUCCCACUUUGCUGCCCCAUAUUGGCUGUAAGAUCAGAGUCCACUGGGCCAGGUCUAAGGCAGGGGAUGGCCCUAUUAACAAGACUCAGAGGAGGAAGAGGUGGUCCUGUGGAUGUGGGAGGCUGGACUCUGAGUAUGACAUCUCUCCUAUGUGCAGAAGUCUGGUUGCCACUGGGAGUAGGUGGGACCAGGGAAAUCUCUGGGACGUGAGUGUGGAGGCCUGUUGGUCUAGACUCUAGACUGUGGAGCUCUGAGCUUUUGUGUCCUCUGGAAGGAAGCUGGGGAAGAAUCCUCUCCAUUGUUAAGUGACGGGGAUAGAAGCUGUCCUGCACAGGAAGUCACGAGGGGGGCGUAUCCCACGAGGAAGGCAGGAGGGGGCGUGCCCCUCACCGGAAAUUAGCAGAGGGGCGUGUCCCACACCGGAAGUCAGAAAGCGGAGCCUUUCUUACACCGGAAGUCAAUGAAGCGGGUCUUUCCUACGCUAAAAACCACUGAGUGGAGUAUUUAGUACACAGGAAGUCGGCCAGAGAAACAUUUCUCAUAUUUGAAGGCCGGAAAGAGGGACAUUUCUGACACCGGAAGUCAGUGAGAGGACUCUUUCCCACACAGGAAGUCAGCUAGAGAGCCGUCUCCCCUCUCUGGAGCCGAGAGAGGCCGGUUUCCCCCACCAUAGCAGGGCUGGGAGAAAGGGAUGGGGAGAGUCCCUCCUGCCACUGACCCAGGAUGGAUAAAAGUACCCCUUUCAUAGAAGGAAGAAAAUGGGAACAAAGGUGCUGCUGAUCAUCUGAGGUUGCCUGCAUGGCAGUGAAGAACAUGGACCUUUGGGUCUCACAUGAGUACUUCACAAUGGGGAAACUGAACUGGAACUCUACUGACAACGCAGUUGGGAGUUCAAACUUAAUAACCUUCCAGAGUUGGUAUCAAAUUCAGACGCUGACGCUCCUUGGAGAGGUUCUUUGCUGCAAGAGGAUGGAAAGGAUCACUGUGAUUUUGUUUUUCUCCUGCUGCUCUGUCUGGAAGCCAUGUGAGGAGGACAUCUGAGCAGCCCUGUGGAGAGGCCCCCAGCCAACAGCCAGCAUGAACUUGCUGGGCAUGUGAGUGCACCACCUUGAAAGUAGAGCCUCAACCCCUGGUCAAGCCAUCAGGGAGAGCUCAAGCUGGCCUGUUGGAAGAUGACAGGCCAUAUGCAACAGACGUGAAGUGUCCCAGCUGAUCCCCUUCCAGAACACCCACCUUCCAGAUGACCACAGAUGCAAGGGUGAGCCAGCCAAUAGCUGCUGAGACAUUCCCAGAAAGACAGAACAUCCAGCUGACCCAUGGACUCAUGGGCGAUCAUGGAUAAAUGGAUAUUGUUUCAAGCUACUAGGUUUGGGGUUGGUUUGUUACGCAGCAAUAGCUAACAGCUACACCUCUAUUUUAAGGAGUUGUGAAGAUAAAUUGCAAAGGUACAGAAAAAUGAAUAGCUAUAACAGCUACUAGUGAUUGAGUGCUGGCUCUGCCUGGUACUGUGCUCAGGAUUGGCAUGCAUUAUCUCAAAGAGUUGCACAGGCUAGAAGGGCUGCAGCUGAAGAUUCUAGAAGAGUUCAGGUAUAAUGCCUGGCACAUGGUACCUGUUUCAUGUAUGCUAGUUGUUGGAUGCUGCUGAUGCUGGCAGCACGUGGAACUCCUGACACAUGCCUCUGAUUUGGUAGUGGGGUCUGAACUUUGUAAUCUGUGUGUCCAGAGACCUUGGGAAGUCUUCAGCCAAGGGCAGACCAGGAGGUAGCUUUUGUGAUCUGAGUGCAGAGAAGUUUCUUAGAGUGAAUGGCAUCCAGAUAGGGUGGGGAAAAAGCAUUAGCCAGGGUGCUCCACACACUCCCCUCACUAGUGUGGUCCCUGGACCAGCAGCCUCAGCCUCCCCUGGGCCCUUAUUAGAAAUGCAGAAUCUCAGGUCCUACCCCUGCUUACUGAAUCAGUAAGAGCAUUUUAACAAGAUCCCCAGGGGAUUUGUGUGCAUGUUAGAGUUUGUCCAGAACACUCUUCUCAAGCUAUCUGUGCUGAGACACCAGUAUUUUUUUCAAAUUCCAAUUUAUUGCAGAAUGACAGUUUUAAAAAAUGCAGUAAAAAAGCAAAUUCCUAGAAAAAUUAAAUGAAAAAUAAAAUAUACAAAAUCUAAGCCCUUUUUUCAUUAUUAUAUUCAAUGAUACAAAAUUGCCAUCUGCCAAAUUGCUACAAAACUUUCUGAAUACUUUUCUUUCUCUGUACGUAUUCUUUGUGGGUACCUUACUGUGGACAGGUAACAAACGACUUGCCAUGUGGCAUGGGCUAUGGACUGCCCGACAAGUAGCACCAUCUUAGAGUUACCAAUGAUAAUGAUACUAAUACAAUAUGACCACACAUGAUUGUGUGCUUGAUAUCAGCUCAUAAUAAGGGCUUACAAGCUUAAAUACCUGGAAAUCCUCUCAGCAAACUGUGGGGCAACUAAUGUAUUUAUCUCCAUUUUGUAGAUUAGGUCAUCGAGGCCCAGAGAGGUUAAGCAACUUGCCCAUGGUCACACAGCAUACAAGUGGAGCACCCUGAGCCCACCUGUUUGACCACUACAAGGCAGAGGGAGGGAGAGGAAGGCACCACCAGUGAGAGGCACAAGGACAUUGUCCAUUGUCUCUUGUACCCUAUGUGAGUGACAGCUGUCAAAAAACCAGGUGUGGGGCCCUGGCUGUCUCUGUAACCGCAUUGCAGUGGAGGCUGGAGCCCAGCAAACUCUUUACCAGCCCCAGGCUAGGGCUAGGAGGAUCACCCUCGCACCUCACUCUUUGGUGCAGCCUGCAGGAAAGGAAGCCCUCUGUGAAGUGUAUCACCCCAGCCUGCCGCGUUGCCAGAGGUGAGGGGAAAAGGGCGCCUGCCGAUCGCCUUCUCCCUCUUGCUAUCUCUUUUUCCUGAAGUCAUAGGAGCCAGGCAGGAGGCUGGGGGUCUGGCAGGCUGGGUGAUAGCUAGUUAUCGACAGGUUGAUGGCUGCCCCAGAAGACUGCCCGAGGACAUCAAGGCGGAAGCCACUUCUGAGGCCCGCUGCUCCCAGAGAGCCGGCUGCCGGCAUCUCUGCCCAGGGCUUGGCGCUUCCCCUCACCAUCUCAUUAAUCCUGAUUCACAGAAAAAGGCAGCAGGCAGGGGCCCUCUUAACAGGCCGAGCGGGCGACUGAUUUGCCUUCACUGAAGACAAUAGUGCCCAGGAGACCCGGCAUUGCUGAAUUAUUCAAAUCAGCCGUGGCAGGGAAAUCUGAGGACACAGAGUGGCUGACAUCCCCCGGCCCUUGCAAGCUGCCCUCCUUCCCUGCCCUGGGGUGCUGGUACCUGGCAGCCUGGGGUGGCCAGCACAGAUCCCCUUGCCAGAGAUGAGGGCUGCUCCCGACCUUCCCUCCUCCGUGGAUGGAAGUUGAAAUUGGUGUUGAUCAUCUCUAAGCACCUUGGAGCUCUAGUAAUGGAUCCAAAAUGACAUUUCCCACCUGCUGAUCCCUGGAGGGACAUUCUGACAAGGACUUCUGGAUGAACAAGUGAUGGGGCAUGGGAAGAUGAAGGCAGCAGGAGAUGGCUGUUCUGCCAAGGUGUGUGUGUGUGUGCGUGUGUGUGUGCAUGAUUCAAAAAAAGCAGAGGAUAUCGGUUGAACCCUGGCUUGGCCAACCUUAGUUUUCUGCUCCUAGAAAAGAAACACAAUGAAUAGGCAGGUAUCCCUGGCAAAUGUGGAGAUUCAGGAGCAAAACCACCCAGAGUCGGUGCUGACGCUGGGUGAAGACAGAGCAAACAGAAGUUUGAGAGGUCACGUGCAACAGACGUGAGCCCAGCAUGGUGGUCUCCCAGUGGGGAGGGAGUCUUGGAGAGUAUGAAGGGUAAACUGAGACCCAGAGAGGGGCAGGGACUUGCCCAAAGUUGUUAAGCAGUUUGUGGCCAAAAUGGAAUGAAAAGCCAUGGUGUUCAGCUUGCAGUUGGAGGCUCUCUUUGUUAAUAAUACCUAUCCCUGCCCAAGCACAGACACCUGAAGGCUUUUUAAUAUAUUUCAUUGCUAACUGUAUGAUAAUCUCAUGAGGCUGAUACAACUAAUAUUCCCAUUCUACUAAUGAGGAAAUUGAGGCUUGCAGAGAUUCAGCCACUGGACAGGGUAGAAAGUGACAAUCUGGGAUUGGAAAGGUGGUCUGUCUUAUGCUGAACCCUUAAUUGCUGUGACUCAGUGGGAGGUCAGAGGCACCAGGACUCCAGAUCGCUCCAAAACAUCCCUCCUGGCCAAGGCUAUAGUGUCAGCAUGACCUCAGUUUGUGAUGGCUUCCUGGGGGUAAGCAUUGCCACUUACUUGUGUCCUCCAUGGGAAGGAGCACACAGAGUUUUAGCCCUUCGCAGAAAGACUGACUUCAAAGCACCCUCAGCCAUCCCAGGCAUCUGAAAGGAGACCCCUGAGGAGGGGACCUCGAAUGUUGGAAGGAAAUUUAUGAAUGAAGAGGUUCGGAAUCUCUGGGCACAAGAUCCACCUCUUUGGGGGAAGCCAGUGGCGUCUUCUGUGUAAAGCUGCCAUUGGCAGGACAACUUUCUCUAGGAGAGGCAGAAGCUGGGGGUGGUGGUGGGGUUAAACCAACCUUGCACAUUGGUGGGAGGGGGCAUGGGGUCAGUGUGUGAAUAACAGCCUCUGCUUUUCUGCAUCAGCCAAACAACAAUAGAGUGGGAAUGGCAACCUGUAUUGAGGGUUCACCAUGUGCUAAGCCCUUUCUUUAUGUGUAGAAGCUCAUUUAGUCCUCAAGACCAUUUUAUGGGGUCAGUAUCUAUGAGGUCAGCAUCGUUAUGUCCUUUUUGCAAAGGAAGAAAAUGAGACGCAGAAAAGAAGACAUUUAAGCCAUUUACCCAGGACGCUGCUGCUGGGGUGAGUGUAAAGGAGCUGGGAUUUGAAAUCCAGGCUUCAUAAACCACGUGGCCUCUAGGAUAUUGUGGCUAGGAUUCCCUUCUCUGUUCAACUUGAAGUCCCUCUCGGCAGAGUGGUGUCCUUUUUCUCUGCCCAUAGUGGCCCAUUCCCGGGGUUGUGAUCCAUGCACGGGCAUCCCCAGAAGGAGGCUUAGAAGCUCCUUGAAGCAGCUUAAAUGCACCUUUGCCGUUGUGCCUCUACAUGCCCUCUUCCUUUUCUGAGAACAACCAACUUCCUCAGGCCUUCGAAUCAUCUCUCAUUUGGAAUAAUCACUGUCUGAAUGGACGAGGUCUCCAGCAUUUGUGUGGUGCGGCGCGGGCCUCCCAGGAUCCUCCCUGCAGAAAAACGAAACGAAGAGAGAUUUAUCUCCUGGGUCAGAUAAAGGUGACUAAAUGCAAACUGGCCGAUUCCUUUCGGCAAACAGUUCCCUGGGGAGGGCUCCUACAAGGAGGAGAAGAGCCAAUCGAUCCCGGAAAUGCUUCGAGGUGACUUACAGGGAAGACUUAAAGGAAAAAGCCCUCGUGUCUUUACAGCCUCCGGCGACUCUUUCAGCCUUGUAAAACUGCCCGUACCAGCCCAUAGAGCGAGGAAGGAGGGGGUCGGGGGAGCUUCUUCCUUACCAUUGCUGCAAAGGUGGAACUCUGCAAAAUUUGACCUCUGAGAUCUCUAGCUGAGUCCUUCAUUCAUCUGUCAAGCAUCUAUUGAGUGCCUACUGUGUGCCUGCUGUGCACUUCGUAUGCUCUAUCCUGCUGAGUCCUCCAGAUGACACCAUCAUUACCCCCAUUUUCUAGCAGAGAAACUGAGGGUAUCUGAAGGGAGGCAAACGUUUCUGGAGUCCUAAAGCAAGCAAGAGGGUAGGUCCUGAGAUACGGAUUUGCAUUCACCAGCCUCCCUGGUUUGGUUUCCUUCCUGCAUCACUCCCUCUGUCAUCAGAUCUGGUUCUCACCCAGCUUCAUCUCCAAGUCUGGCUCAGGCUUGUUCUUCUCUAUCUCUCUUCCUUUCUCCUUUCUGCUCUUAGACUCAUAAGAAACCUUCCUUAUAAUCUGAGGAAACAGCCUGUGCAUCUUGGAGACUGAGUUUCUUUUGGGAUCCCCAGGUUCACACCAGCCUUUUCUCCCAUAGUCAUCCCGCCCUCAUUUCAUUAAGGUACCAGUAGCACCAGCUGGGAAGGGUAACUUGGCUUGCGGUCUGCAAACUUAUUCUGGCCCUGCAAAAGGCCAAAUAGUAAAUACUUUAAGUUUUGUGGUGCAUUGCGCUAUUGGGGUGCCAAGACAAUAUGUAAAUGAAUGGGCAUAGCUGUGUUCCAAUAAAACUUUAUUUACAAACACAGGUGGUUGGCGAGAUUUGGCCCAUAGGUUGUCAUUUGUUGAUCCUUGGGAUAGAGGAUAAAAGAUCUGGUUUUGGGGUUUGCAGACCUGAGGUCUCCCCGCAGCCCACUUUUUUUUUUUUUUUACUUCCUUGCUGUGUUACCUUGGGCAAGUUGGUGCAGCUCUCUGAGCCCCGUUUCUUUUCUGUGGAAUGAGAUAAUUAUAGCACCUGCCGCCUGGGCUUUUGCUAAGUUUAAAUGAAACCAUGCAGUGGAUUGCACAUAGUCAGUGAGCAAACUGGUAGCUGUUAUUUUAUGACGAAUGACUUUAAACCUUCUGAGGAAAGCAACCCCCCUUCCCUCAUUUGGGGGUAAGGGAAGCUGAUGUGCCAGUGUUCUGAUAUUUUGUGGUUCAUUAUGCUGUUAAGAUUUCCAUUCUUUUCAAGUUAAUGCACUUGCAUUUUAAUGACUUAGGAUGCAGAAUCUGCCUCCUUUGGGAUGGAACCAGCUGGCUGGCCUUUUGUGAGGGUGAUAGUUGGUAAAACUCUGGACACCCCCAUGAUCCCUUUGAGUCUAACCUCUGGUUCCCUUUCCUGGCUCCAGAAGGACUGACUCAGUGGGUCUAGCAUGACCACCAGUGAUCCUCUGGUUGAGAGCUGAUCACAAGUGGCCAAUUAAUCUAUUACUUGCAGAUACAUUUUCCAUUAGCAGUGGCGGAAUCAAUUAGUCAGCGUAAUGAACUUGAGUCUGGGCAAACAGGAAGGAGAGGUUAACCCCUUGGUUUCCAAAGGAGGCUGGGAUGGCAAGGGAGCGUGGAGAAGAUCUGGAGAGAAAUCGAGAGGCUGGAUAGGGACAGAGGUUUGGGAACCACAGUCAAGCUUCCAGGUAGUAAGAUGAGGUAGGUUGGACCCAAAGAGCUCUAGCUUAGAGCCAGGAAAAAAUGGCUUCUCUAGUCAUGUGGACAUGACAGAGUCAUUUUGAGCUCAGUUUCCUCCUCUGCAAAUGGGGAUCAUAAUUGUACACACCUCAUAGGAUUGUUGUGAGGAACAAAUAAGACAAGUUGUAUGAAAUACAUAGCCCCAUGUUGGGAGCGGAAAUUCUCAGUGAAUGCUAAUCUUUCUGCUACCCCUUUUUUUCUGCCUCACCACAAGCCACGAAGAGGUGAAAAAGAGACUUCUUGACUUAGAGCUAAAAAUAGCAGAAACUUCUUACUAAAAUUACUCUAGCUCAGAUCCACAUUCAAA
rnacentral:lncRNA from 1 species